AUUGAACGCUGGCGGCAGGCCUAACACAUGCAAGUCGAGCGGAUGAAGGGAGCUUGCUCCUGGAUUCAGCGUCGGACGGGUGAGUAAUGCCUAGGAAUCUGCCUGGUAGUGGUUUAUAACGUCCGGAAACGGGCGCUAAUACCGCAUACGUCCUGAGGGAGAAAGUGGGUGAUCUUCGGACCUCUCGCUCUCAUAUGAGCCUAGGUCGGAUUAGCUAGUUGGUGGGGUAAAGGCCUACCAAGGCGACGAUCCGUAACUGGUCUGAGAGGAUGAUCAGUCACACUGGAACUGAGACACGGUCCAGACUACUACGGGAGGCAGCAGUGGGGAAUAUUGGACAAUGGGCGAAAGCAUGAUACAGCCAUGCCGCGUGUGUGAAGAAGGUCUUCGGAUUGUAAAGCACUUUAAGUUGGGAGGAAGGGCAGUAAGUUAAUACCUUGCUGUUUUGACGGUAACAACAGAAUAAGCACCGGCUAACUUCGUG
rnacentral:rRNA from 1 species